CUGUUACAAAAUGUUCCUGACUCAUUCACUAGAGCAACAAGAGGUGUCAGCAGGAAUACAGGUGGCAUGCAUGAUUGUCUGGAUUUAAAGGGAUUGAUUUCCCUUUUCAAGCCUGAUUUUUCAGGCCUGCAGCUUUUCCAGGAUUAUCCAGGAAACUGAAGUACUCAAGCAUGGAAGAGAGUAGA